rnacentral:rRNA from 1 species
UACAGAGGGUGCGAGCGUUAAUCGGAAUUACUGGGCGUAAAGCGCACGUAGGCGGUUCGUUAUGUCGGAUGUGAAAGCCCUUGGCUUAACCGAGGAAGUGCAUCCGAAACUGGCGAGCUAGAGUACUAAAGAGGAUCGCGGAAUUCCCGGUGUAGAGGUGAAAUUCGUAGAUAUCAGGAGGAACACCGGUGGCGAAGGCGGCGAUCUGGCCCAACAUUGACACUGAGACCCGAAAGCGUGGGGAUCAAACAGG